CGCCUCUUGAAAUAACUAUAAGAGGUCCAGCCUGCCCAGUGACUCUGUUCAACGGCCGCGGUAUCCUAACCGUGCGAAGGUAGCGUAAUCACUUGUUCUUUAAAUGGGGACUUGUAUGAAUGGCACCACGAGGGUUAUACUGUCUCCUUUUUCUAAUCAGUGAAACUAAUCUUCCCGUGAAGAAGCGGGAAUAAAAAUAUAAGACGAGAAGACCCUAUGGAGCUUUAAACUUAGCAACAAGUACUAUUAACCUUUUAACUUUCCGAAUAUAAAUUAUUACUUUAGUACUAUGAUUAUUAGUUUUAGGUUGGGGUGACCGCGGAGUAUAAACUAACCUCCACAUUGAACGGGACACAUCCCUGAGCCAAGAGCUACGACUCUAAGCACCAAUAAAUUGACAUUAAUUGACCCAUUUUUGUGAUCAACGAACCAAGUUACCCUAGGGAUAACAGCGCAAUCCACUUCAAGAGCUCAUAUCGACAAGUGGGUUUACGACCUCGAUGUUGGAUCAGGGUAUCCCAGUGGUGCAGCCGCUACUAACGGUUCGUUUGUUCAACGAUUAAAACCCU
rnacentral:rRNA from 1 species